GAGUUUGAUCGUGGCUCAGAUUGAACGCUGGCGGCAUGCCUUACACAUGCAAGUCGAACGGCAGCAUGAUCUAGCUUGCUAGAUUGAUGGCGAGUGGCGAACGGGUGAGUAAUACAUCGGAACGUGCCCUGUAGUGGGGGAUAACUAGUCGAAAGAUUAGCUAAUACCGCAUACGACCUGAGGGUGAAAGUGGGGGACCGCAAGGCCUCAUGCUAUAGGAGCGGCCGAUGUCUGAUUAGCUAGUUGUGGGGUAAAGGCCCACCAAGGCGACGAUCAGUAGCUGGUCUGAGAGGACGAUCAGCCACACUGGGACUGAGACACGGCCCAGACUCCUACGGGAGGCAGCAGUGGGGAAUUUGGACAAUGGGCGAAAGCCUGAUCCAGCAAUG
rnacentral:rRNA from 1 species